rnacentral:misc_RNA from 1 species
GAUGAAGAACGUAGCGAAAUGCGAUAAGUAAUGUGAAUUGCAGAAUUCAGUGAAUCAUCGAAUCUUUGAACGCACAUUGCGCCCGCCAGUAUUCUGGCGGGCAUGCCUGUUCGAGCGUCAUUUCAACCCUCAGGCCCCCAGUGCCUGGCGUUGGGGAUCGGCGCGGUGCCCUCCGGGGCGCUGCCGGCCCCGAAAUUCAGUGGCGGUCUCGCUGUAGCCCUCCUCCGCGUAGUAGCACAACCUCGCGGCCUGGAGCUCGGCGGUGGCCAUGCCGUAAAACACCCCACUUCUGAAAGUUGACCUCGGAUCAGGUAGGAAUACCCGCUGAACUUAAGCAUAUCAAUAAGCGGAGGA